rnacentral:rRNA from 1 species
AUUGAACGCUGGCGGCAUGCCUUACACAUGCAAGUCGAACGGCAGCACGGGUGCUUGCACCUGGUGGCGAGUGGCGAACGGGUGAGUAAUACAUCGGAACGUACCUUAUCGUGGGGGAUAACGCAGCGAAAGCUGUGCUAAUACCGCGUACGCCCUGAGGGGGAAAGCGGGGGAUCGCAAGACCUCGCGCGAUUAGAGCGGCCGAUGCCUGAUUAGCUUGUUGGUGGGGUAAAAGCCCACCAAGGCGACGAUCAGUAGCUGGUCUGAGAGGACGAGCGGCCGCACUGGAUCUAAGACACGGCCCAGACUACGACGGGAGGCAGCAGUGGGGAAUUUUGGACAAUGGGGGCAACCCUGAUCCAGCAAUGUCGCGUGAGUGAAGAAGGCCUUCGGGUUGUAAAGCUCUUUUGUCAGGGAAGAAACACCGGCUCUAACACAGUCCGGGAAUGACGCUACCUGAAGAAUAAGCACCGGCUAACUACGUGCCAGCCGCCGCAGUAA